rnacentral:rRNA from 1 species
UUAUCCGGAUUAUUGGGUUAAAGGGAGCGUAGAUGGAUGUGUAAGUCAGUUGUGAAAGUUUGCGGCUCAACCGUAAAAUUGCAGUUGAUACUGGAUGUCUUGAGUGCAGUUGAGGCAGGCGGAAUUCGUGGUGUAGCGGUGAAAUGCUUAGAUAUCACGAAGAACUCCGAUUGCGAAGGCAGCCUGCUAAGCUGCAACUGACAUUGAGGCUCGAAAGUGUGGGUAUCAAACAGGAUUAGAUACCCUGGUAGUCCACACGGUAAACGAUGAAUACUCGCUGUUUGCGAUAUACGGCAAGCGGCCAAGCGAAAGCGUUAAGUAUUCCACCUGGGGAGUACGCCGGCAACGGUGAAACUCAAAGGAAUUGACGGGGGCCCGCACAAGCGGAGGAACAUGUGGUUUAAUUCGAUGAUACGCGAGGAA